rnacentral:rRNA from 1 species
AACGAACGCUGGCGGCGCGUCUUACGCAUGCAAGUCGAACGGCAAGAGAGGAGCUUGCUUCUCUCCUAGAGUGGCGGACUGGUGAGGAACACGUGGGUAAUCUACCCUUAAGAUGGGGAUAGCUGCUAGAAAUAGCAGGUAAUACCGAAUACACUAGGCAUAUCACAAGAGGUGUUGAGGACAGGAAGCUACGGCUUCGCUUGAGGAUGAGCUUAUGUCCAAUUAGCUAGUUGGUGGGGUAAAGGCCCACCAAGGCGACGAUGGGUAGCCGGCCUGAGAGGAUGAACAGACACACUGGGACUGAGACACGGCCCAGACUCCUACGGGGGGCAGCAGUGAAGAAUAUUGCGCAAUGGGCGGAAGUCUGACGGAGCGACGCCGCGUGGAUGAAGAAGGCUGAAAAGUUGUAAAAUCCUUUUGUUGAUGAAGAAAAGGGGUGGGAGGAAAUGCUCAUCUGAUGACGGUAAUCGACGAAUAAGCCCCGGCUAAUUACGUG